rnacentral:ribozyme from 1 species
CUGUUAAGAUAAAAGAGUUCUUUAUUUAAUUAAAUAAAUUCCGGGGUAGCUCAGCGGUAGAGCGGUCGCCUGUGUCGGAUGAAAAAUUACGCAGCUUCCUAAGAAAACUUAGGUUGAAAAACAAGGUGAAUUCGGGGAAGCCCUUAUGGGGUAAUCCCGAGCCAAGCCUCGAUUGUAAAAUUGAGGAAGGUGUAGAGACUAUCCAUUUAUGGAGUAGCUCUCUAAUUUAUUUUAGAGCGCGAAGCGCCUUGCUCCUAAAUUCAUAAAAUUUAUGAACAUGGAGAUGAUAUAGUCCACACUUCUAGUAAUAGAAGA